rnacentral:rRNA from 1 species
UACGUAGGGUGCAAGCGUUAAUCGGAAUUACUGGGCGUAAAGCGUGCGCAGGCGGUUGUGCAAGACAGAUGUGAAAUCCCCGGGCUCAACCUGGGAACUGCAUUUGUGACUGACAGAGCUGAGUACGGUAGGAGGGAUGGAAUUCCGCGUGUAGCAGUGAAAUGCGUAGAUAUGCGGAGGAACACCGAUGGCGAAGGCAAUCCCCUGGACCUGUACUGACGCUCAUGACACGAAAGGCGUGGGAGCAAACGAGG